UUUUUUAAAUUUCAUCCAUAUAUGUUGUUAGAAAUUGGUAUGGCUAACGGAAUAACUAAAAAAUGACACGUGACAUGCCACAUGUACCUUUAUGUUGAUGUAUAUGGACUAGUUCUUAAUAGUAGAAAUGAAUAAAAUUUUUAAUA
rfam:Gossypium raimondii Chr03_contig_24, whole genome shotgun sequence.